rnacentral:rRNA from 1 species
GUGGGGAAUCUUAGACAAUGGGCGCAAGCCUGAUCUAGCCAUGCCGCGUGAGCGAUGAAGGCCUUAGGGUUGUAAAGCUCUUUCAGCUGGGAAGAUAAUGAUGGUACCAGCAGAAGAAGCCCCGGCUAACUCCGUGCCAGCAGCCGCGGUAAUACGGAGGGGGCUAGCGUUGUUCGGAAUUACUGGGCGUAAAGCGCACGUAGGCGGAUCAGAAAGUCAGAGGUGAAAUCCCAGGGCUCAACCUUGGAACUGCCUUUGAAACUCCUGAUCUUGAGGUCGAGAGAGGUGAGUGGAAUUCCGAGUGUAGAGGUGAAAUUCGUAGAUAUUCGGAGGAACACCAGUGGCGAAGGCGGCUCACUGGCUCGAUACUGACGCUGAGGUGCGAAAGCGUGGGGAGCAAACAGGAUUAGAAACCCCGGUAGUCC